UGGGGAAUAUUGGACAAUGGGGGAAACCCUGAUCCAGCCAUGCCGCGUGUGUGAAGAAGGCCCUCGGGUUGUAAAGCACUUUCAGCGAGGAAGAACGCCUAACGGUUAAUACCCGCUAGGAAAGACAUCACUCGCAGAAGAAGCACCGGCUAACUCCGUGCCAGCAGCCGCGGUAAUACGGAGGGUGCAAGCGUUAAUCGGAAUUACUGGGCGUAAAGCGCGCGUAGGUGGCUUGAUAAGCCGGUUGUGGAAGCCCCGGGCUCAACCUGGGAACGGCAUCCGGAACUGUCAAGCUAGAGUGCAGGAGAGGAAGGUAGAAUUCCCGGUGUAGCGGUGAAAUGCGUAGAGAUCGGGAGGAAUACCAGUGGCGAAGGCGGCCUUCUGGACUGACACUGACACUGAGGUGCGAAAGCGUGGGUAGCAAACAGGAUUAGAUACCCAAGUAGUCCCUGAGCGGGCUGGCAAGGCGCAU
rnacentral:rRNA from 1 species